GCCUGUUUGGCCAAGUGGCUAAGGCGUCUCACUCGUAUCACAAAUGCGACAUGAGAAGAGCACCAGUUCGACUCUGGUAAUAGGCA
rnacentral:tRNA from 2 species